rnacentral:rRNA from 1 species
GACGAACGCUGGCGGCGUGCUUAACACAUGCAAGUCGAACGGAAAGGCCCUGCUUUUGUGGGGUGCUCGAGUGGCGAACGGGUGAGUAACACGUGAGUAACCUGCCCUUGACUUUGGGAUAACUUCAGGAAACUGGGGCUAAUCCCGGAUAGGAGCUCCUGCUGCAUGGUGGGGGUUGGAACGUUUCGGCGGUUGGGGAUGGACUCGCGGCUUAUCAGCUUGUUGGUGGGGUAGUGGCUUACCAAGGCUUUGACGGGUAGCCGGCCUGAGAGGGUGACCGGCCACAUGGGGACUGAGAUACGGCCCAGACUCCUACGGGAGGCAGCAGUGGGGAAUAUUGCACAAUGGGCGGAAGCCUGAUGCAGAAACGCCGCGUGCGGGAUGACGGCCUUCGGGUUGUAAACCGCUUUCGCCUGUGACGAAGCGUGAGUGACGGUAAUGGGUAAAGAAGCACCGGCUAACUACGUG